GUCAUCAUCGGCCCUUACGGCCUGGGCUACACACGUGCUACAAUGGUCGGUACAAAGGGUUGCCAAGCCGCGAGGUGGAGCUAAUCCCAUAAAACCGAUCGUAGUCCGGAUCGCAGUCUGCAACUCGACUGCGUGAAGUCGGAAUCGCUAGUAAUCGUGAAUCAGAAUGUCACGGUGAAUACGUUCCCGGGCCUU
rnacentral:rRNA from 1 species